CUGGCUCAGGACGAACGCUGGCGGCGUGCCUAAUACAUGCAAGUCGAGCGAACAGAGAAGGAGCUUGCUCCUUCGACGUUAGCGGCGGACGGGUGAGUAACACGUGGGCAACCUACCUUAUAGUUUGGGAUAACUCCGGGAAACCGGGGCUAAUACCGAAUAAUCUGUUUCACCUCAU
rnacentral:rRNA from 1 species